ensembl:lncRNA
CAAGGGAAGGUUCUUUACCUGGAGGUCACUCUUUUUUGGAGUAUUUGGACACCUGUACCUGGAGAUCAUUGUGUUUCCUAUUGAAAAAGGAGGGGAAGCAGACAACAGGUCGUGUCUAUUCCUAGCUGAUGAAGGUUUCAAGAAAUUCCAGAAGUUAAACUCUUACCACUCUCAGCAAGGACUUCUCCAUUACCAAACUAAUUGCAGUCAGAGAAAUGCAACAGUGCCAUCUCUAGGACAGAUGCACCAUCCCCUUCAUUGUAGGAUAUGUCAUGGAAGUUCAGUUAAAGAUGAUAGGAGAUAUGUGUGACUUCACCCUUGGACAUUUACAGAAAAGUAAGAUGUCUGAAAAAAAGAAAAAAAAU